rnacentral:rRNA from 1 species
UCUAGCUUGCUAGAUUGAUGGCGAGUGGCGAACGGGUGAGUAAUACAUCGGAACGUGCCCUGUAGUGGGGGAUAACUAGUCGAAAGAUUAGCUAAUACCGCAUACGACCUGAGGGUGAAAGUGGGGGACCGCAAGGCCUCAUGCUAUAGGAGCGGCCGAUGUCUGAUUAGCUAGUUGGUGAGGUAAAGGCUCACCAAGGCGACGAUCAGUAGCUGGUCUGAGAGGACGAUCAGCCACACUGGGACUGAGACACGGCCCAGACUCCUACGGGAGGCAGCAGUGGGGAAUUUUGGACAAUGGGCGAAAGCCUGAUCCAGCAAUGCCGCGUGUGUGAAGAAGGCCUUCGGGUUGUAAAGCACUUUUGUCCGGAAAGAAAUGGCUCUGGUUAAUACCUGGGGUCGAUGACGGUACCGGAAGAAUAAGGACCGGCUAACUACGUGCCAGCAGCCGCGGUAAUACGUAGGGUCCAAGCGUUAAUCGGAAUUACUGGGCGUAAAGCGUGCGCAGGCGGUUGUGCAAGACCGAUGUGAAAUCCCCGAGCUUAACUUGGGAAUUGCAUUGGUGACUGCACGGCUAGAGUGUGUCAGAGGGGGGUAGAAUUCCACGUGUAGCAGUGAAAUGCGUAGAGAUGUGGAGGAAUACCGAUGGCGAAGGCAGCCCCCUGGGAUAACACUGACGCUCAUGCACGA